ACAGAGGUGGCAAGCGUUGUUCGGAUUUACUGGGCGUAAAGGGUGCGUAGGUGGCUUCGUGUGUCGGGCGUGAAAGCCCACCGCUCAACGGUGGAAUGCCGUCCGAAACUACGAGGCUUGAGUGCAGGAGAGGAGAGCGGAAUUCUUGGUGUAGCGGUGGAAUGCGUUGAUAUCAAGAAGAACACCAGUGGCGUAGGCGGCUCUCUGGAAUGCAACUGACACUGAGGCACGAAAGUUGGGGGAGCAAACAG
rnacentral:rRNA from 1 species